rnacentral:rRNA from 1 species
CCUACGGGUGGCAGCAGUGGGGAAUAUUGCACAAUGGGCGCAAGCCUGAUGCAGCAACGCCGCGUGAAGGAAGAAGGGUUUCGGCUUGUAAACCUCUAUCAACAGGGAAGUAAGAAAUGACGGUACAUGAAUAAGAAGCAGCUACCAACGACGAGACAGCCGCCGCGGUACUACGUAGGGGGCCAGCGUUAGCCGGAUUUACGGGGUGUAAAGGGGGAGUAGGCGGGAUGAUAAGCCAGAUGUGAAAGCCUGGGGCUGAACCGGAGAAUUGCAGUUGGAACUGUCGAGCUUGAGUGCAGGCGAGGAAAGCGGAAGUCCUAGUGUAGCGGUGAAAUGCGUAGAUAUUAGGAAGAACACCAGUGGCGAAGGCGGCUUUCUGGACUGAAACUGACGCUGAGGCACGAAAGCGUGGGGAGCGAACAGGAUUAGAUACCCGGGUAGUC